AAGCGGAGGAGCAUGUGGUUAAUUCGAUGAUACGCGACGGAACCUUACCUGGGCUACGAACGUAAGAUGACUGUAGGUGAAAGCUUACAUCUCUUCGGAGCAUUUUACGAGGUGCUGCAUGGUUGUCGUCAGCUCGUGCCGUGAGGUGUCGGGUUAAGUCCCAUAACGAGCGCAACCCCUACCUUUAGUUGCCAUCAGGUAAUGCUGGGGACUCUAAAGGAACUGCCUACGCAAGUAGUGAGGAAGGCGGGGAUGACGUCAAAUCAGCACGGCCCUUACGUCCAGGGCUACACACGUGCUACAAUGGCCGAUACAGAGGGCAGCUACCUGGUGACAGGAUGCAAAUCUCCAAAGUCGGUCUCAGUUCGGAUCGGAGUCUGCAACCCGACUCCGUGAAGUUGGAUUCGCUAGUAAUCGCGCAUCAGCCAUGGCGCGGUGAAUACGUUCCCGGGCCUU
rnacentral:rRNA from 1 species